UUUGGGGUCCCAGAGAGUAUUUUGGGGCACUGAGGUGCUGUUUGGGGGUCCCCAGGGGGAUUUUGGGGCAUGAAGGUGCUGUUUGGGGGUCCCCAGGGGUUUUUUGGGGUCCCAGAGAGUAUUUUGGGGCACUGAGGUGCUGUUUGGGGGUCCCCAGGGGUAUUUUGGGGCAUGAAGGUGCUGUUUUGGGGUCCCCAGGGGUUUUUUGGGGUCCCAGAGAGUAUUUUGGGGCACUGAGGUGCUGUUUGGGGGUCCCCAGGGGUAUUUUGGGGCAUGAAGGUGCUGUUUUGGGGUCCCCAGGGGUUUUUUGGGGUCCCAGAGAGUAUUUUGGGGCACUGAGGUGCUGUUUGGGGGUCCCCAGGGGUAUUUUGGGGCAUGAAGGUGCUGUUUUGGGGUCCCGGGGGGUAAUUUUGCCCCUUCCCGCCGCAGGUACUACACCUUCGACGAGGCCUUCGCCCGGGAGGUGCUGGGCAAGAAGCUCUCCAAGGGCACCAAGAAGGACCUGGACGACAUCAGCGCCAAGACGGGCGUCAGCCUCAAGAGCUGCCGCCGCCAGGUGGGACCGGCCCCGAAACGGGCCGAGACCACCCGCAACGGGCCGAAUCUGCCCAAAAUGGGACGAAUCCACCCCAAAAUGGGCCAGAUCCGCCCCAAAACGGGCCAAGACCACCCGGAAUGGGCCGGAUCUGCCCCGAAACGGGCUGAGACCACCCAGAACGGGCCAGAUCUGCCUGGAACGGGCCGAGUCUGCCCCGGAACAGGCCGGAUCCGCCCCAAAACGGGCCAAGGCCACCCAGAAUGGGCCGAAUCGGCCCAAAAUGGGCCGGAUCUGCCCCAAAACAGGCCAAGACCACCCAGAAUGGGCCGAAUCGGCCCAAAAUGGGCUGGAUCCACCCCAAACCAGGCCAAAUCUGCCCUGAAACAGGCCGGAUCCACCCCAAAACGGGCCAAGACCACCCGGAAUGGGCCGAAUCUGCCCAAAAUGGGCCGAAUCCACCCUGAAACGGGCUGAGACCACCUGGAACCGGCCAAAUCCGCCCUGGAACAGGCCGAGACCACCCCGGAACGGGCCAGAUCCACCCCAAAACAGGCCUAGACCGCCCAGAAUGGGCCAAAUCUGCCCCAAAAUGGGCCGGAUCUCUCCGGAACAGGCCAAGACCACCCAGAACGGGCAAGAGCUGCCCGGAACGGGCCAAAUCUGCCCCGGAACAGGCCAAAUCGGCUGGAUCCCCAAAACGGGCUGGAUCCGCCCCAAAACAGGCCAAGACCACCCAGAACGGGCUGAAUCCACCCGGAAUGGGCCCAAUCUGCCUGAAACAGGCUGAAUCUGCCCCAAAAUGGGCCGAGACCACCCGUAACCGGCCAAAUCCACCCUGGAACAGGCUGUGACCGCCCCGAAAUGGGCCAGUUCUGCCCCAAAACAGGCCAAGACCACCCGGAAUGGGCCGAAUCGGCCCAAAAUGGGCCGGAUCCGCCCCAAAACAGGCCAAGACCACCCAGAACGGGCUGAAUCCACCCGGAAUGGGCCCAAUGAGCCUGAAACAGGCUGAAUCUGCCCCAAAAUGGGCCGAGACCACCCGUAACCGGCCAAAUCCACCCUGGAACAGGCUGUGACCGCCCCGAAAUGGGCCAGUUCUGCCCCAAAACAGGCCAAGACCACCCAGAA
ensembl:lncRNA